rnacentral:snoRNA from 1 species
GUGCACAGUUGUUCUUUACGUCAAGAGAAAAGAUAUUUGCAAUGUGCUAAGCUAACCUUUGGAGGUAAGUUAGCAGCAUAACUUAUUUAGCCAUUGCUCUCAGUCUUAUUCAGACAAGU